rnacentral:rRNA from 1 species
UGCCAGCCGCCGCGGUAAUACGAAGGGGGCGAGCGUUGUUCGGAUUUACUGGGCGUAAAGAGUACGUAGGCGGUCUUGCAAGUUAGGCGUGAAAGCCCAGAGCUCAACUCUGGAACUGCGCUUAAAACUGCAAAACUAGAAUCUCGGAGAGGAUAGCGGAAUUUCCAGUGUAGAGGUGAAAUUCGUAGAUAUUGGAAGGAACACCAGUUGCGUAGGCGGCUAUCUGGACGAGUAUUGACGCUGAGGUACGAAAGCGUGGGGAGCAAACAGGAUUAGAUA